rnacentral:misc_RNA from 1 species
UCCGGUUUAACACCGGCAGUCUCUCUAGAGUGCCCAACUAAAUGGUGGCAACUAGAAAUAAGGGUUGCGCUCGUUAAGGGACUUAACCCGACAUCUCACGAUACGAGCUGACGACAGCCAUGCAGCACCUGUCUCUCAGUCCCCGAAGGGAAGAUCGUAUCUCUACGACUGUCUGAGGAUGUCAAAUCCAGGUAAGGUUCUUCGCGUUGCAUCGAAUUAAACCACAUGCUCCACCGCUUGUGCGGGCCCCCGUCAAUUCCUUUGAGUUUUAAUCUUGCGACCGUACUUCCCAGGCGGGAUACUUAAUGCGUUAGCUGCGACACUGCAGGGGUCAAUUCCCGCAACAUCUAGUAUCCAUCGUUUACGGCGUGGACUAC